GAGGGCAUAGCUCAGUGGUAGAGAGCAUGCCUAGCAUGCAUGAAGUCAUGGAUUCAAUCCCCAGUACCUGCA
rnacentral:tRNA from 1 species